GUGUCCGUAGCUCAGUUGGAUAGAGCAGUGAACUCCUACUUCACAGGCCACUGGUUCAAAUCCAGUCGGACACG
rnacentral:tRNA from 1 species